rfam:Dipodomys ordii contig_32638, whole genome shotgun sequence.
GGGAAGGUGGCUCAGUGGUAGAGUGCUUGCCUUGCAUGCAUGAGGCCCUGGGUUCGAUUCCUCCGCACCA